rnacentral:lncRNA from 1 species
CAAGUGAAGGAGAAUCCACUAAAGCGCUGCUACUUGAAAAUAAUCUACUUCUAUUCAAAAAAGAGCAGGAACUUCUCUUGGUGAACCUGCUUAAAGACGCCAUUGACAACACUUGUAUAUAUUAAAAUAGAGAGAGAGAGAGAGAGAGGUCAGGGGAUGUGUAGAUUCAGAUACAGAGAGCAAAAGGAAAGAUUGGUAAGCAAUUUAUAAGUGAAACAGCCCAAAAGAGUUAAAUACCAUGACAUUCUCCCUACAAACAUGCCAUGACCUGGUAUAUUGAAAAAAGUUCUCUCGCUAUGAAAAUAAAUGAAAUCGAUCCCAUUAAUAAAAAAAUUUGUAGAACAUGAUUUCACUUACUUGUCCAGGCGUGAUCAAGCCUUUCUUUUCUGCGUCCUUGAUCAUCGCGAAUGCUGGUCUGGUGCCAGGACCAAAAAUUUCAUACUAUUAGAUUGUAUUUAGCCAAGUUCAUACUGGUCAAGCAUUUUGAUUACACGACAGCAUAAAAUGUAUGAAAUUUGAAGUACGAAGAAACAAAUCGAGGUGUAAAUGAGAAUACCUGUCUUUGAUGCUAGCAGUAGGCUGCAUCAUCUCUUGUUUAACAGCUACAUAAGCACCACAGCCUUCAGUUACUUUAUUAAGAUAUACAAGGGGAGUUCUUCCAAUGAGCUGCAUUGCGAAAGUACAAUUCAUCAGUCGAGACAUCGACUAUGCUUAUUUAUUGUACAAAUCUUUCUGUUUUUCAAGUCGAUAUAUCCCAUUUGUUUGUAUGGUUUGGGCACAGACGUGGUCGGGAUGGAUCGAUGGAGAAGUGAACAUCAAUUGGAUUGAAAUUUUAGAAGUCUGCAUUUUAGAAAGCAGAUCUUAAUCGCUGGCUUAUAUGCUUUCUAGCCGAUUCAAUUGUUAUAUCAGAAAGCUCACAGAAUAAACAAACACUCUUCAUGGCAUUCUUGAGCAACCGAUCCAGCAAAGCAGCUCAAAAAUUACCAUUAAAUUUUUUCAAGCCCGUUCCAAGUUCGAAGUAUCUUGUUAAUUAUAUUUUUAAGUCAUGUAUAUCCAAGUUAAAUGGGAUAAGGCUUGAGGGCAUGUUUGGCAGGCUUUUUGCUUUUACUCUUCGUAGAAAAGUUUCAUAAGAAAGCCAACUUAGGAUCCGUUUGGCAGGCUUCAUAAGCACUUCUAGAAAAUUAUCAAAAUAUGUUUGAAAGCAGCUUAUGACUUUUUAAAAAUCUUGACCUAUAAUUACUUGUGAAACUGCUAGGACCUCAAGUACUACUUACUAGUAUGAAGGGUGCAGCUGAAACUGAUUCUUUUAUGAAUUUUUAAGUAAGAUCUGAUUGCAAGUGCCCGACAAAAUAAGUAAAAUAUAUAUAAUUAAUUUAUUCAAGGAUGACCAAGUUUGCAGCACUGUAGGAAGAAAAGACAAAAAAGACCCAUAAUUCCUCCAUUCACAGUUCAUCCUUUUUCAUCCAAUACCAGCAAAUGGUUUAAGCCUUCAGUAGGAAACCAUUUCAGAUAAUAAUGAACAUAUUUUCGAAAUUAAAAAUAUAAAAGAAAAACCAUGUAAUGAUAAACCCCAAAUCGAAUAAAGAUAAAAAUAUAGAUUAACAUAUAAGUACUUGACGUCUAGAGAAAACCGGCUUAAUAUUUUAUGAUAUUCGAUCAUGUAACCUAACCAACGAGCUGAAGUAAGAAAACGAAUUAAGUGACCUGAGAAACUUCUUUCUUGAUGUUGGUUCCAGGAAGAUCUUUGGGCAGAUCUCUGAGUCUUUGUGCAAGUGAAGGAGAAUCCACUAAAGCGCUGCUACUUGAAAAUAAUCUACUUCUAUUCAAAAAAGAGCAGGAACUUCUCUUGGUGAACCUGCUUAAAGACGCCAUUGACAACACUUGUAUAUAUUAAAAUAGAGAGAGAGAGAGAGAGAGGUCAGGGGAUGUGUAGAUUCAGAUACAGAGAGCAAAAGGAAAGAUUGGUAAGCAAUUUAUAAGUGAAACUGCCCAAAAGAGAUUGUGUCCAUGUACAAUUCACUUGCGAGCUCAACUUUUUGGAAUUUAUAUUUCUUUCAAAUUUAGUUUCAAUCACAAUGUAAAUACAAUAUUUUUUUCUACUUUUUAACCACAUAUUCUCUAAAAAUUUCAUUUUUAACCAAAAUUAUGUUCAAAAAAUGGGGUCUAGUUAAUAAAGAAAGAAUAAAGCUCUGAGCCAAGCACACAAGGUAAAAAGAGUAAAUCCGAUAUGUAUAUCAUUUAACUUGAACUAUUCAAAAAGGAAUCGUAUAAAUAUUGGCAUCUUAUUUUACAUUAAGUCUCUAUUU